rnacentral:rRNA from 1 species
UACGUAGGGUGCAAGCGUUAAUCGGAAUUACUGGGCGUAAAGCGUGCGCAGGCGGUUUUGUAAAGUCUGACGUGAAAUCCCCGGGCUCAACCUGGGAAUUGCGUUGGAGACUGCAAGGCUAGAAUCUGGCAGAGGGGGGUAGAAUUCCACGUGUAGCAGUGAAAUGCGUAGAGAUGUGGAGGAACACCGAUGGCGAAGGCAGCCCCCUGGGUCAAGAU